rnacentral:rRNA from 1 species
UACGAAGGGGGCUAGCGUUGUUCGGAAUUACUGGGCGUAAAGCGCACGUAGGCGGACAUUUAAGUCAGGGGUGAAAUCCCGGGGCUCAACCCCGGAACUGCCUUUGAUACUGGGUGUCUAGAGUCCGGAAGAGGUGAGUGGAAUUCCGAGUGUAGAGGUGAAAUUCGUAGAUAUUCGGAGGAACACCAGUGGCGAAGGCGGCUCACUGGUCCGGUACUGACGCUGAGGUGCGAAAGCGUGGGGAGCAAACAGG